rnacentral:rRNA from 1 species
UACGUAGGGUGCAAGCGUUGUCCGGAAUUAUUGGGCGUAAAGAGCUCGUAGGCGGUCUGUCGCGUCGGAAGUGAAAACCCGGGGCUCAACCCCGGGCCUGCUUUCGAUACGGGCAGACUAGAGUUCGGCAGGGGAGACUGGAAUUCCUGGUGUAGCGGUGAAAUGCGCAGAUAUCAGGAGGAACACCGGUGGCGAAGGCGGGUCUCUGGGCCGAUACUGACGCUGAGGUGCGAAAGCGUGGGGAGCAAACAGG